CUCCCAGUCUCAAAGCAGUUUGCAAGUCUGCGACUUCCUUUUCAUUUCCUGUAAUUUGCUUACAACAUGACCCGCAUAGCCGGCCCGGUGAAAUCCCGAUUCUCCAGCCCGUGGCAGCCUGCAGAACGGUAUGAGAGAUACAGAGGAGCCUGACCACAUAGGAUUGUAUCUGAGUCCAUGUUGACACACAGCCUCAGGAGCCAUGUUGAAAAGGAUGAAGACAAAAAUCAUUUUGGAGAUGAAGAAGCUAGGCUGACACUGGUGACACUGUGGGUGGUGCCACCCCUGGGCACAGAUGGCCCUGGGUUGCAUAAGGGAGUAAGCUAAGCAGGCCGGUAAGCCGCCAUUUCUCCACGCUCUUGACUUCAGUUCCUGCCUCCAGGUUCCCGUUUGAGUUCCUGCCUUGACAUCCUUCAAUGACAGACUGUGACAUGGAAGCGUAAGCCAAAUAAAUCCUUUCUUCCUUCAAA